UUCCAAGUUGUUAAAUACAUCAGAGGAUUGGGUUUUCAAAAAAAAAUUUGAGAUGUGUUAUCGUGAUUAUCUGAUUGUUCAUUUUGGGCUUUGUCCCCAUGCCUAUCCUUGUAAUUCUCCCUUGGCUGAAAUUAGUCAACAUUUUGCUAAUAAGAGACAUUCUAUUUCAUUCUUUAUGUCUUUUUAUAUGACUGUUUCUCAACCAUUCAGAUCCUUUUCUUCUUAAUACCCCACCAUGGAAGAAAUGUGCAAAUGCAUUCUUACUUUUUGAGUUUAAAAUAAUGAUUGAUAAAUGAAAAACAACAUGAAAGAUUUUUUACAUUACAUUGAAUAAGUCAAGAGUGAUAAAGGCAAAAUCGAGAUGUUCAGUUCCUGAUUAGGACAUUGAAUCUGGGAAAAGAUUUCUUACAAGAAGAAUGUGAGUGGAAGAGACAAUUAAGAGCUACACUGGCUUGAUCUUAGAAGAGCAGUGUAAUUGGAUCUUUAAAGAAUCAAAAGGUUUGAUGCCCAAGAAAAAAAAAAGAGCUUGAGAAACCUGAGUACCAUACAUUGAAUAGGAAUUAAUUGGCCAACAUCUGCAUAGCAUGCAUUGAAAUUCAUAUGCAUUGCAUAGCAUGCACUACUUUCAGGAAAGUAUAGUGUAUAAAUUCAAGAAGCAGGGGUGUUCCAACAUCCCACAUAGAGAAGACAGAUAUGAAGAUAUUUUGCAAAUUUGAGAGGAAACUUGUCAGGUAAGGUCCUAAUCCUUGAAAUAGGAUGUCUUUUGGUAUCAGGGUUGAUUUAUAAGACCUUUGGGCAUAAUCUCCUGAAAUUCCUUCAAACACAACUUUCAACUCCUUUGGACAUGUUUGUCAAGGAGCAAUUUACUUUCCAAAAGUCGUGGUGCCUCUGUUUAGAGGAGCAAUUUAUUUUCCAAAAGUCGUGGUGCCUCUGUUUAGAGGAGCAAUUUACUUUCCAAAGUCGUGGUGCCUCUGUUUAGAGGAGCAAUUUAUUUUA
rnacentral:lncRNA from 1 species